GACGAACGCUGGCGGCGUGCUUAACACAUGCAAGUCGAACGAUGACGACCGAGCUUGCUCGGUCUGAUUAGUGGCGAACGGGUAAGUAACACGUGAGCAACCUGCCCUUCACUCUGGGAUAACCUCGGGAAAUCGGGGCUAAUACCGGAUAUGAGCUCCUGUCGCAUGGCGGGUGUUGGAAAGUUUUUCGGUGAAGGAUGGGCUCGCGGCCUAUCAGUUUGUUGGUGAGGUAGUGGCUCACCAAGGCGAUGACGGGUAGCCGGCCUGAGAGGGCGACCGGCCACACUGGGACUGAGACACGGCCCAGACUCCUACGGGAGGCAGCAGUGGGGAAUAUUGCACAAUGGGCGAAAGCCUGAUGCAGCGACGCCGCGUGAGGGAUGACGGCCUUCGGGUUGUAAACCUCUUUCAGCAGGGAAGAAGCGAAAGUGACGGUACCUGCAGAAGAAGCGCCGGCUAACUACGUG
rnacentral:rRNA from 1 species